GAUGAACGCUAGCGGCAGGCUUAACACAUGCAAGUCGAGGGGUAUGCCGAUUUAUCGGCAGAGACCGGCGCACGGGUGCGUAACGCGUAUGCAAUCUACCUUUCACAGAGGGAUAGCCCAGAGAAAUUUGGAUUAAUACCUCAUAGUAUAGCAGUUUCGCAUGAAACCACUAUUAAAGUUCCAACGGUGAAAGAUGAGCAUGCGUCCCAUUAGCUAGAUGGUAAGGUAACGGCUUACCAUGGCUACGAUGGGUAGGGGUCCUGAGAGGGAGAUCCCCCACACUGGUACUGAGACACGGACCAGACUCCUACGGGAGGCAGCAGUGAGGAAUAUUGGACAAUGGCGCAAGCCUGAUCCAGCCAUGCCGCGUGCA
rnacentral:rRNA from 1 species